rnacentral:rRNA from 1 species
GAUGAACGCUGGCGGCGUGCCUAAUACAUGCAAGUCGAGCGAACGGACGAGAAGCUUGCUUCUCUGAUGUUAGCGGCGGACGGGUGAGUAACACGUGGAUAACCUACCUAUAAGACUGGGAUAACUUCGGGAAACCGUAGCUAAUACCGGAUAAUAUUUUGAACCGCAUGGUUCAAAAGUGAAAGACGGUCUUGCUGUCACUUAUAGAUGGAUCCGCGCUGCAUUAGCUAGUUGGUAAGGUAACGGCUUACCAAGGCAACGAUGCAUAGCCGACCUGAGAGGGGGUGCGCCCCCACUGGAAUUGGAACCCGGCCCAGCCUCCUAGGGGGGGCAGAAGGGGGGAAUCUUCCGAAAGGGGCGAAAGCCUGACGGGGCAACCCCGGGGGGGGGAAGAAGGUCUUGGGUUUGUAAACCCUUUUUUUUAGGGAAAAAAAAUUGGGAAAGUAACGGGGCCCAUUUGGACGGUACCUAAUAAAAAAGCCCCGGCAAACUACGG